GCCUGGGUGGCUCAGCGGUUGAGCAUCUGCCUUCGGCUUAGGUUGUGAUCCCGAGGUUCUGGGAUCGAGUCCCACUUCGGGCU
rnacentral:tRNA from 1 species